rnacentral:rRNA from 1 species
CCUACGGGAGGCUGCAGUGAGGAAUAUUGGUCAAUGGACGAGAGUCUGAACCAGCCAAGUAGCGUGAAGGAUGAAUGCCCAGUGGGUUGUAAACUUCUUUUAUAUGGGAAUAAAAUGUUCCACGUGUGGGAUUUUGUAUGUACCCUAUGAAUAAGGAUCGGCUAACUCCGUGCCAGCAGCCGCGGUAAUACGGAGGAUCCGAGCGUUAUCCGGAUUUAUUGGGUUUAAAGGGAGCGUAGGUGGAUUGUUAAGUCAGUUGUGAAAGGUUGCGGCUCAACCGUAAAAUUGCAGUUGAAACUGGCAGUCUUGAGUACAGUGGAGGUGUGCGGAAUGCGUGGUGUAGCGGUGAAAUGCUUAGAUAUCGCGAAGAACUCCGAUUGCGAAGGCAGUUCACUGGACUGCAACUGACACUGAGGCUCGAAAGUGUGGGUAUCAAACAGGAUUAGAUACCCGGGUAGUC